rnacentral:misc_RNA from 1 species
UGCAAGUUGUUGAAGCAAGAUCUCCGGAAGAUCUUCAUAGAGCGUUGAAACAUGCUUCAGAAGAAAAUAUUGAAGAGAGAUCAAAACCAUCAGAUUUAAAGAACUGGCCAAGAGAAGUAAAUGAUAUGGGUUCUAGCAGUUCUACCAAGGAGCUUCCGGCUCUUGAAGUUGGUGCAAUUGAUGAUAUUGACCUGGCUUUCAAUCAACCUAACAAUGGUGUAGAUGUUCCCAGCAAAGUUGAGCAGCAUCUUGUUGUGAAUGAAUCCAGAGAUCUUCUACAUUCCAAUUCAGACUUGCAUGUUCUUGGAGCAAGCUCUGUAGAAGAUCUUCAUAGUGCCAUGAAGCAAGUUUUGGAGGUUAAUAUUGAGGAGCUGCCUAAAACAUCAGAUCCAACCAAAGAGAUAUCAAGGACUUCAGAAGUAAAUGAAAUUGGUCCCACCAAGGACAUUGAAUCAAGUACUGUAGAAGUAUAUGAAGCAGGUGUUAUCCAGGAGAGUGGAUCAAGUACUGUAGAGUUUGGUUCUCAAGAAACGAUCACUGCAGUUCCUGCUGAACCAAUGCAUUGAUUUGAUGAAACAUCUGGAGUUUCAUGUUUGAACAUAUCAGAUACAAAAGGUGAGAGUGCAAAAUCUCUUAGAUUGAGCUCAAGUUCUAGCUCUUGCUCAAGCUUCACAGGUACAGAUUGAAAAAGAGAAUUGACGGAGUAAAGAGAAAAAGGUUUUGUGGUUUGAGUUUUCCAUUGAUGCGGUUUACUUCUGUGAUCAUGGGCUUUUUGUUUUUAUAGUUUGGUUUUCUCUCUUGUUUUCAUUACUGGAUGUUGGUUUUUGUUUUGCCCUUUCAAUUGAUUGAUCUCUUCAAGAAUGAGUUUUGGUUU